rnacentral:rRNA from 1 species
UACAGAGGGUGCAAGCGUUAUUCGGAAUUACUGGGCGUAAAGCGUGCGUAGACGGUAGCGUAAGUCGGGUGUGAAAGCCCCGGGCUCAACCUGGGAAUUGCAUUCGAGACUGCUCUGCUAGGGUGCGGAAGAGGGAAGCGGAAUUUCCGGUGGAGCGGUGAAAUGCGUAGAGAUCGGAAAGAACACCAGCGGCGAAAGCGCUCUGCUGGGCCGACACUGACACUGAGAGACGAAAGCGAGGGGAGCGAAUGGG